UAUAUUUGCGCCCUGAUUGAAAAACAAUCACAUACAUAAAAAUCAUUUAAAACAAUAUUGGAAUG
rfam:Maribacter dokdonensis DSW-8 contig9, whole genome shotgun sequence.